rnacentral:tRNA from 1 species
GGCGCUGUGGCUGAGCGGUAAAGCGCUUGGCUUCCAAACCAGGGACCUGGGUUCGAAUCCUGGUGAAGACU